GACUUCCUAUUGGGAGGGGCAAGGCAGGGGCAGACCUGGAAUCCCUUGAUGAGCAUCUCGUCAGAUUAACAGUUCAAAGACGUUCAGAGGGAGGGGGCAGUGAAGCUUCGUAGGAGGGAAGAACUCUGCAGAGUUAGAAACAAAGUUCACAUCCCCUUCAUUUCCCUGCCUCUACAUGGGAAAAAAUGGACUUUGAUCCCCUGAAACCGGCUUCCUGACUGCUUAUCAGGAACAGAGAGCGUGAUAGGUGAGGCUCUUCCAGCUUGUAAACCUCUCCACACCACUGCUGAAGGUGGCUUCUGGGAAGCUGCAGACAACCCCUGUGAAAGGAUGGUUCGAAUCCAAAGGGGUCAUGACCCACAGGUUGUGAACUGCUGGUCUAGAGGUAACAUUUGGAGUGAGAACACUGGUUCUUCUGACUGGCAGCUAUACGGACAGAGAGUCACCAUGUGAGCCCAGGAUGAGGACGCCAAGG
rnacentral:lncRNA from 1 species